rnacentral:rRNA from 1 species
CCUACGGGAGGCAGCAGUGGGGAAUAUUGGACAAUGGGCGCAAGCCUGAUCCAGCCAUGCCGCGUGAGUGAUGAAGGCCUUAGGGUUGUAAAGCUCUUUUGCCAGGGAAGAUAAUGACUGUACCUGGAGAAUAAGCCCCGGCUAACUUCGUGCCAGCAGCCGCGGUAAUACGAAGGGGGCUAGCGUUGUUCGGAAUCACUGGGCGUAAAGCGCACGUAGGCGGACUUUAAGUCAGGGGUGAAAGCCUGAGGCUCAACCUCAGAACUGCCCUUGAUACUGGGAGUCUUGAGUAUGGUAGAGGUUGGUGGAACGAGCAAGUGUAGAGGUGAAAUUCGUAGAUAUUUGCUAGAACACCAGUGGCGAAGGCGGCCAACUGGACCAUAACUGACGCUGAGGUGCGAAAGCGUGGGGAGCAAACAGGGAUUAGAUACCCUGGUAGUCCACGCCGUAAACGAUGGAUGCUAGCCGUUAGCCAGCUUGCUGGGUAGUGGCGCAGGUAACCCUUUAAGCAUCCCGCCUGGGGAGUACGGUCGCAAGAUUAAAACUCAAAGGAAUUGACGG